rnacentral:rRNA from 1 species
GAUGAACGCUAGCGGAAGGCAUAAUACAUGCAAGUCGAACGGAUGUAGCAAUACAUUAGUGGCGCACGGGUGCGUAACGCGUAUGCAACCUACCUUCAUCAGGGGGAUAACUACCCGAAAGGGUGGCUAACACCGCAUAAUACUAUUGAGUGGCAUCACUUGAUAUUUAAAUCUGAGGAGGAUGAAGAUGGGCAUGCGUCUGAUUAGCUAGUUGGUGUGGUAACGGCGCACCAAGGCGACGAUCAGUAGGGGAACUGAGAGGUUGGUCCCCCACACUGGCACUGAGAUACGGGCCAGACUCCUACGGGAGGCAGCAGUAGGGAAUAUUGGUCAAUGGUGGGAACACUGAACCAGCCAUUCCGCGUGCAGGAAGAAGGGUCUCUGACUUGUAAACUGCUUUAGCAAGGGAAGAAAAAGCUCAUGCGUGAGAAAUUGACGGUACCUUGAGAAUAAGCACCGGCUAACUUCGUGCCAGCAGCCGCAGUAACAC